rnacentral:rRNA from 1 species
CAGUAGCCGCGGUAACACGAAGGGUGCAAGCGUUACUCGGAAUUACUGGGCGUAAAGCGUGCGUAGGUGGUGGUUUAAGUCCGUUGUGAAAUCCCCGGGCUCAACCUGGGAAUGGCAGUGGAUACUGGCUCGCUAGAGUGUGUCAGAGGAUGGUGGAAUUCCCGGUGUAGCGGUGAAAUGCGUAGAGAUCGGGAGGAACAUCAGUGGCGAAGGCGGCCAUCUGGGACAACACUGACGCUGAGGCACGAAAGCGUGGGGAGCAAACAGGAUUAGAUACCCCCGUAGUCCCUGUCUCUUAUAC